rnacentral:rRNA from 1 species
UACGGGGGGGGCAAGCGUUGUUCGGAAUUACUGGGCGUAAAGGGUUCGUAGGUGGCUGGCUAAGUCGGACGUGAAAUCCCUCGGCUUAACCGGGGAACUGCGUCCGAUACUGGUUGGCUUGAGUUUGGGAGAGGGAUGCGGAAUUCCAGGUGUAGCGGUGAAAUGCGUAGAUAUCUGGAGGAACACCGGUGGCGAAGGCGGCAUCCUGGACCAAUACUGACACUGAGGAGCGAAAGCCAGGGGAGCAAACGGG